rnacentral:rRNA from 1 species
GAAUUGCAGACGCUUAGAGUGGUGAAAUUUCGAACGCAUAGCACCGACUGGGUCUCCAGUCGGUACGUCUGGUUCAGGGUUGUUUAAUUCAAACUGCUAAUUCUAUUGGCUUGUCGAAUGACAUUGGGACGGCUUUCUUGGUCGACUCGAUCUCGUUCUAGUUCCGAAGCAUCACAAGUCGAGACCCGACGAAAGUCGACUCGUAAUGUGACGCGCUACUCUUAUAUCAGAGAGAUAGUGAGAGCUGCCAAAUGGCGUCCAACUUGACUUGCUGGGUUUUACCAUCAAGACGUGUAUCACAACGUGUCUUCUGAUGUGCAAAGCUCAUGCGUCAGACCGGCUCGUCGCUCUUUCUUGUCACUUUGAAUACUGGGAUUCGUUUUAUGCCUAAUGUAUCGUUUUCACGAACGUGCAUAUGCUUAAAGCGGUGCGUGUCUUGCUAUUCUCAACCUGAACUCAGUCGUGAUUACCCGCUGAACUUAAGCAUAUCAUUUAGCGGAGGAAAAGAAACUAAACAGGAUUCCCUUAGUAACGGCGAGUGAAACGGGAAGAGCCCAGCGCCGAAUCGUUCAGUCUUUGGCUGCUACGAAAUGUGGCGUAUAGGUGUAGUCUUCCAGCAGUGUCGUGAGUCCGAAGUCCUUACGAUUGAGGCCAUAAGCCAGAGAGGGUGCGAGCCCCGUCCUGGAUUGC